rnacentral:rRNA from 1 species
GUGAACGCUGGCGGCGUGCCUCAGACAUGCAAGUCGUACGAGAAAACCCCGCAAGGGGUGAGUAAAGUGGCGCACGGGUGAGUAAUACUUAGGUAACGUACCUUUCCGCGGAGAAUAACCAGGCGAAAGCUUGGCUAAUGCUGCAUACACCGCGAGAGACUGUGGUCUCUUUCGGGAAAGCCGUAAGGCGUGGAAAGGGCGGCCUGAGUCCCAUUAGCUAGUUGGCAGGGUAAUGGCCUACCAAGGCUACGAUGGGUAGCUGAUCUGAGAGGAUGAUCAGCCACACUGGAACUGGAACACGGUCCAGACUCCUACGGGAGGCAGCAGUUAGGAAUAUUGCACAAUGGGCGAAAGCCUGAUGCAGCGACGCCGCGUGAGUGAAGAAGGCCUUCGGGUUGUAAAACUCUUUUAGCAGGGAAAACAAAAAUGAUGGUACCUGCAGAAAAAGCACCGGCUAACUCCGU